GCAUAUCAAUAAGCGGAGGAAAAGAAACCAACCGGGAUUGCCCUAGUAACGGCGAGUGAAGCGGCAAGAGCUCAAAUUUGAAAGCUGGCUCCUUCGGGGUCCGCAUUGUAAUUUGCAGAGGAUGCUUCGGGAGCGGUCCCCAUCUAAGUGCCCUGGAACGGGCCGUCAUAGAGGGUGAGAAUCCCGUAUGGGAUGGGGUGCCCGCGCCCGUGUGAAGCUCCUUCGACGAGUCGAGUUGUUUGGGAAUGCAGCUCUAAUUGGGUGGUAAAUUUCAUCUAAAGCUAAAUAUUGGCCGGAGACCGAUAGCGCACAAGUAGAGUGAUCGAAAGAUGAAAAGCACUUUGAAAAGAGAGUUAAACAGCACGUGAAAUUGUUGAAAGGGAAGCGCUUGCGAUCAGACUCGCUCGCGGGGUUCAGCCGGCCUUCGGGCCGGUGUACUUCCCCGCGGGCGGGCCAGCGUCGGUUUGGGCGGCCGGUCAAAGGCCCCUGGAAUGUAACGCCUCUCGGGGCGUCUUAUAGCCAGGGGUGCCAUGCGGCCUGCCCGGACCGAGGAACGCGCUUCGGCUCGGACGCUGGCAUAAUGGUCGUAAGCGACCCGUCUUGAAACACGGACCAAGGAGUCUAACAUCUACGCGAGUGUUCGGGUGUCAAACCCGUGCGCGCAGUGAAAGCGAACGGAGGUGGGAACCCCUCGGGGUGCACCAUCGACCGAUCCUGAUGUCUUCGGAUGGAUUUGAGUAAGAGCGUAGCUGUUGGGACCCGAAAGAUGGUGAACUAUGCCUGAAUAGGGCGAAGCCAGAGGAAACUCUGGUGGAGGCUCGCAGCGGUUCUGACGUGCAAAUCGAUCGUCAAAUUUGGGUAUAGGGGCGAAAGACUAAUCGAACCAUCUAGUAGCUGGUUCCUGCCGAAGU
rnacentral:rRNA from 1 species